AGAGUUUGAUCCUGGCUCAGAUUGAACGCUGGCGGAAUGCUUUACACAUGCAAGUCGAACGGCAGCACGGGGGCAACCCUGGUGGCGAGUGGCGAACGGGUGAGUAAUACAUCGGAACGUGCCCAGUCGUGGGGGAUAACGUAGCGAAAGCUACGCUAAUACCGCAUACGAACUCUGGUUGAAAGCGGGGGAUCGCAAGACCUCGCGCGAUUGGAGCGGCCGAUGGCAGAUUAGGUAGUUGGUGGGGUAAAGGCCUACCAAGCCGACGAUCUGUAGCUGGUCUGAGAGGACGACCAGCCACACUGGGACUGAGACACGGCCCAGACUCCUACGGGAGGCAGCAGUGGGGAAUUUUGGACAAUGGGCGCAAGCCUGAUCCAGCCAUUCCGCGUGCAGGAUGAAGGCCCUCGGGUUGUAAACUGCUUUUGUACGGAACGAAAAGGCUCUGGUUAAUACCCGGGGCUCAUGACGGUACCGUAAGAAUAAGCACCGGCUAACUACGUGCCAGCAGCCGCGGUAAUUC
rnacentral:rRNA from 1 species